AUGGGGGCGGGGUCCUCACGAGUGGGAUUCGCGCCUUCAUACAAGAGAGCCCAGAGAGCUCUCUUGUCCUUUCUGCCGUGUGAGGUUACAGAAGGAAGACAGCCAUCUAGAAGGAAGCAGAACCCCACCAGACACCAAGUCUGCAGGUGCCCCCAUCCUGGCUUCCUGGCCUCCAGAACUGUGAGAAUGCUGUCCCGGCCACCCCGUGGGGACUCAGCUGUGGCUGCAGACUUGUCAGGCAGACGUAGCCAGCAGCCAACAACAGAUGGCCAGACCCUGUCAGUCACUGCUGAUCUGGGCCAAAUCCCGAAGAGAGAGCAUUUCAGGAAGCUGGUCACCUGCCAAGGUAACCCAAACAAAAAGGAACCAGGAAUACCUACUAGAGUGACAACUUGUAAUAAGAUAAGGGCAAAGAUUAACAAUUAAAAAUCAGAAUUAUCUGUUAAAAAUUUACCUUACUUGACCAUAAAGAUUAGG
rnacentral:lncRNA from 1 species